AAUCAAAGGAAAAAGGUGAAUGGCAUUGAAAUGAUGAGGCUCCACCAAUGCCACAUGCAGCCAAUUCUAUUUAGCAAGGACUGUGGUCAAGGUAGCAGGGGAAAGUAGAAGUUGUUCAGGAUAUUGAAAAGAGAGAGCUCACAGUGCCCCAUAAAGAAGGCCUCUCAAGCCCAGGAAGCUGAAGCCAGCCAGGGAAGGAAGCAUCAGCUGCCUUCAGAAGGAAGGAAUCAGAAGGGAGCAGCACCAGCCCAUGCAGCAUCACACCUUCGGGGGCUUGGAGAAAAACCGAGCAAUUUCUCCGUGCUGGGUGCAGCUCCUUGGACCAGCUUCUGCCCGGGCAGUAGGAAGGUAUUGCAGCAUCCUCUGUGACUGCGUGUUCUGACCUCCAGAAACGUUUGAUCCGUAAUGUUUUAGAGACAAUGAAGUAAAACCAACAUGUGCUCACCAACUAAUCAUCAGCGCCACGUGUGCUUGGGCUGCUGCUCCUGCUGUCCAGGUGCCUGAAGUUCCUGUUCUCAAUUAAUCACUGCAAUGGAUGGAACCUGCCUGGUAAUUGCUGUUGAGCCGUGCCUGCGGCUGGCUCCGGAUUGCUGCAGUGGAGGUGAUGGGAGCACUGCUGGAGGAGGAGCGCAGGCUGUGAGGAAGGGCAUCGCACCUGGCCUUGGCAAUGAAGCAAGGAGGAGACUGGACUACGGGACUGCUGCUCUCAGAACUGCACAGAGAAAUGCUGCAAAGGACGUUCCCAGUGCCGGGCGAUCUUCAGAGGCCGCAAGAAGUCAGAUUACAUUCCUGUUGCCCCGUCUCCUCUCAUAUAAAUACUGCUUCUUCCAAAGGAAGCAAUAAACUAAUAUUUGUUGUAAACUAAGCAGGAGCUGAGGCCAUUUUCAAGAGCAGUCAUGAAGAGGAGAGCAGCUCUGUACGAGUGACAGUUUUCUUAGUAAGUCCCUCUCUGUGACCUCCCGAGCUCAGCUCCCCCUCCAUGCCCCACUCUGAGCUGCCGGGGAGCAGCGUGCGGCCAAAAAGCCGUGAUGAAUUUCCUCCCUGCAGUUUAAUGCCAGGCAAACCAAAGCCCUGUUGAUCAGGGUUCUCCUUUCCACCUGUAAUAUCUGCAAGAAGCCCUGUCCUCCCUGUAGUAUGUUGGUUUUAGCUUAAUUUACUGUAUUUAAUUAGUUUUUGGUCCUCUGACCCUUCCUACCACAAGGUGUCAUCCUUCCGACAGGUAGGGACAAGGACCUUGUCACAGUGUCUGGCUCCUGCUCUGGGAAUCCCGAGCCCGACUUCAUAUUUCUGUCAUUUCGCCCAGCCUUGAAGGACCUCUGCAGUCAUUCUAGAGCGAUUUAUGGCAGCAGCUGGUCUCCAGAAAAGAAAACCGUUUUAUCCCAGCAGCUGAUUUCCUGCAAGGUUUGAGAGCUCAGGACACAACGCGAGAGGAUUCUCUGGCCAGAGAAACAAUGGGUUCUUUACAGCCACCAGUGUAAGAGCUAAGCCAUGCAAAUGGAUCUAAUAAGCAUAAUUUAAACCCAUGGUUUUCUUUUUAUAGCACUUUCAUAUUCGGUGUUUUAUAUUCCAAUUUUCCACCUUUUAGUCUUGCUUCUUUCUCUUUUGCUGCAAAACCCUAUCUCAAAUGGGAGGGCAAUUACUAGGCAAGCAUGUAGUUCUUUAAUUGAAACACUUAUAGGUGUACACUUAAAAACUAUAAAGACUUUUUAUGGAAUAGCAAUGCCUUAAUAGGCUCUUGUGUAUGUACAUUGUAAUCUAAUUCUGUGUUCUUUCAGCAUUGCUGGGGGAAGCUGUUAAUUUAUGGCUACAAUGAACAAUAAAGCAAUAAUAGUAA